UAAAGAAUUUGGCGGUAUUUUAUUCUAUUUAGAGGAAUUUGUCCCUUAAUCGAUAAUCCUCGUUUUAUCUUGCUUGGUUUUAGUUUUCAGUAUGUAUAUCGCCGUUAUAAGUUUAUUUUUGGAGAAUUUUAAUUUACUUAAUAUUUUAUUUUAUAUUAUUUCAGGUCAAGGUGCAGCUUAUAGACAAGUGGUGGUGAAUUACAAUAGUAUUUAACUAAAUGGAUUUUAAUUUUAAAAUUUAAUUGAAGGUGGAUUUAAUAGUAAUUUUAUUUAUAUUGUUGAUUUGAAUUAGGCUCUGAAAUAAGUACACAUCG
rnacentral:rRNA from 1 species